UUUCUGUCCAGCGCUAAUGUAAAAAGAAAGCUCUUAUCUGUCUACCUGGAGGGAUGCUCAAAUGUUACUUCCUGCCAGUGUCUCCUCUGGCCCCAUCCUGAAGCUCACAGCCUGGACCUGAGCAUCCCCAAGGUCGCCAUCAGUUCAGUGUUGGGACCCCAGGAUGAUUGGGAGAGUCAAAUGUCCACCUCGAUGGAGCCACACCCCAUCUCUACUACUACUACGUAGCUCAGCUCCUACACAUGGAUUUCUGGCUGUGAAGAGGGUGUUUCCAACAACUGAGGAGAGUUGGAGACUUGGGAUCUCAGUGGACUGUCAUUGCCCCACCCCGUCAACACUCCUUCCCAUGCAGUAGGGACGGACCACGGACACUUCAGUAGGCUCCUACUCUGGUGAGCUGCACCUGGCUGAUGGGAAAGGUGUCUUGUACUGAGUUGAUGAGGAAGGGGUGCGUCUUGCUGGCUGUGGCAGCAGGGCUGGCAUCCUUCUGUAUGGAAAGCUCCAAGAAAGAUAAGAAAGGCUCGUCAACCUCUCCCCUGUCAGCAGCCCACAGGAAACACCACAGACUCACACUCCACUCAAACACUCCCUCUUUAUCUC
rnacentral:lncRNA from 1 species